UACGUAGGGUGCAAGCGUUGUCCGGAAUUAUUGGGCGUAAAGAGCUCGUAGGUGGCCUGUCGCGUCGGCUGUGAAAACUCGGGGCUCAACUCCGAGCUUGCAGUCGAUACGGGCAGGCUAGAGUUCGGCAGAGGAGAGUGGAAUUCCCGGUGUAGCGGUGAAAUGCGCAGAUAUCGGGAAGAACACCCGUGGCGAAGGCGGCUCUCUGGGACGGUACUGACGCUGAGACGCGAAAGCGUGGGGAGCGAACAGG
rnacentral:rRNA from 1 species